UACGUAGGGUGCAAGCGUUUGUCCGGAAUUAUUGGGCGUAAAGAGCUUGUAGGCGGUUUGUCGCGUCUGCUGUGAAAACUCGGGGCUUAACCCCGGGCCUGCAGUGGGUACGGGCAGACUAGAGUGCGGUAGGGGAGACUGGAAUUCCUGGUGUAGCGGUGAAAUGCGCAGAUAUCAGGAGGAACACCGGUGGCGAAGGCGGGUCUCUGGGCCGUAACUGACGCUGAGGAGCGAAAGCGUGGGGAGCGAACAGG
rnacentral:rRNA from 1 species